rfam:Picea glauca, whole genome shotgun sequence.
GAGCGUUAAAAUAAUGAGUAAGGAAAACAAAGUGAGCGUUGAAAACUGUUCACAACGCAGCUAAAAUGUCUGUGCAAAAUUUAUGGAGGGGUGAUAGGUUGGCCUAGUGCUGACACUGCUUACUUUGCAGGAUUAUUGCAACCAGGAUCAUGAAUAUUUUCC